UACGUAGGUGGCAAGCGUUGUCCGGAUUUACUGGGCGUAAAGAGCGCGCAGGCGGUCGUGCAAGUCGCGUGUGAAAGCCCCGGCUCCAACUGGGGAGGGUCGACGCGAUACUGCUCGACUUGAAGGCAGGAGAGGGAAGUGGAAUUCCCGGUGUAGUGGUGAAAUGCGUAGAUAUCGGGAGGAACACCAGUGGCGAAGGCGGCAUACUGGACCACCACUGAUGCUGAUGCGCGAAAGCCAGGGGAGCAAACGGG
rnacentral:rRNA from 1 species